UACGAAGGGGGCUAGCGUUGCUCGGAAUUACUGGGCGUAAAGCGUGCGCAGGCGGUUUUGCAAGCCGGAUGUGAAAUCCCCGGGCUUAACCUGGGAAUGGCAUUUGGGACUGCAAGGCUGGAGUGCGGCAGAGGAGACUGGAAUUCCUGGUGUAGCAGUGAAAUGCGUAGAUAUCAGGAGGAACACCGAUGGCGAAGGCAGGUCUCUGGGCUGACACUGACGCUCAUGCACGAAAGCGUGGGGAGCAAACAGG
rnacentral:rRNA from 1 species